CCUACGGGAGGCAGCAGUGAGGAAUAUUGGUCAAUGGACGAGAGUCUGAACCAGCCAAGUAGCGUGAAGGAUGACUGCCCUAUGGGUUGUAAACUUCUUUUAUAUGGGAAUAAAACGUUCCACGUGUGGGAUUUUGUAUGUACCAUAUGAAUAAGGAUCGGCUAACUCCGUGCCAGCAGCCGCGGUAAUACGGAGGAUCCGAGCGUUAUCCGGAUUUAUUGGGUUUAAAGGGAGCGUAGGUGGAUUGUUAAGUCAGUUGUGAAAGUUUGCGGCUCAACCGUAAAAUUGCAGUUGAAACUGGCAGUCUUGAGUGCAGUAGAGGUGGGCGGAAUUCGUGGUGUAGCGGUGAAAUGCUUAGAUAUCACGAAGAACUCCGAUUGCGAAGGCAGUUCACUGGACUGCAACUGACACUGAGGCUCGAAAGUGUGGGUAUCAAACAGGAUUAGAUACCCUUGUAGUC
rnacentral:rRNA from 1 species